CCUACGGGUGGCAGCAGUGGGGAAUAUUGCACAAUGGGGGAAACCCUGAUGCAGCGACGCCGCGUGAGUGAAGAAGGAAUUCGGUAUGUAAAGCUCUAUUAGCAGGGAAGAAAAUGACGGUACCUGAGUAAGAAGCCCCGGCUAACUACGAGCCAGCAGCCGCGGUAAUACGUAGGGGGCAAGCGUUAUCCGGAUUUACUGGGUGUAAAGGGAGCGUAGACGGGAGUGCAAGUCUGGAGUGAAAGGCGGGGGCUCAACCCUCGGACUGCACUGGAAACUGUACGGCUGGAGUGCAGGAGAGGUAAGUGGAAUUCGUGGUGUAGCGGUGAAAUGCGUAGAUAUUAGGAGGAACACCAGUGGCGAAGGCGGCUUACUGGACUGUAACUGACGUUGAGGCUCGAAAGCGUGGGGAGCAAACAGGAUUAGAUACCCGAGUAGUC
rnacentral:rRNA from 1 species